GAAAGUAAGCAAGGGCAGACGGUGGAUGCCUUGGCUCUCGGAGGCGACGAAGGACGUGAUAAGCUGCGAAAAGCUCGGGGGAGGCGCAAAUAGCCCUUGAUCCCGGGAUAUCCGAAUGGGGCAACCCGGCAGGCUGAAGGCCUGCCAUCCCGUAAGGGAGGCGAACGUGGGGAACUGAAACAUCUAAGUACCCAUAGGAGGAGAAAAUAAACAAUGAUUCCGUAAGUAGUGGCGAGCGAACACGGAAGAGCCCAAACCCGUGCCGUCUAGGCGACACGGGGGUUGUAGGACCACGACGUGGCAAGAUAGAGUCAAGUGGAACGCCUUGGAAAAGGCGACCGUAGAGGGUGAUAGUCCCGUACACGACUGACGAUUGAAGCCUAGUGGCAUCCUGAGUAGCGCGGGGCACGAGAAAUCUUGCGUGAAACUGCGGGGCCCAUCCCGUAAGGCUAAAUACUCCCGAGAGACCGAUAGCGAACCAGUACCGUGAGGGAAAGGUGAAAAGAACCCCGAGCAGGGGAGUGAAAUAGACCCUGAACCCGUCUGCCUACAAGCGGUCGGAGCAUCGUCAAGAUGUGACGGCGUGCCUUUUGCAUAAUGAACCUACGAGUUACCUUCCCCGGCAAGGUUAAGUACCUAAGGUACGGAGCCGAAGCGAAAGCGAGUCUGAAUAGGGCGGCCAGUCGGGGGGGGUAGACGCGAAACCGAGUGAUCUACCCUUGGCCAGGUUGAAGGUUGGGUAACACCAACUGGAGGACCGGAUGGGUAAGCGUUGAAAAGCUUUCCAAUGAGCUGAGGGUAGGGGUGAAAGGCUAAUCAAACUCGGAGAUAGCUCGUACUCCCCGAAAUGCAUUUAGGUGCAGCCUCUUUAUAGUAUAUCGUGAGGUAGAGCGACUGAUUGGAUGCGAGGGCUUCACCGCCUAUCAAGUCCAGAUAAACUCCGAAUGCGCGAUAUAUAUUUAAAGGGAGUGAGGGCGCGGGUGCUAAGGUCCGUGUCCGAGAGGAGAAGAAUCCAGACCACCGGCUAAGGCCCCCAAAUGAUCGUUGAGUUGAACUAACGAGGUCGGAUCGCAGAGACAGCUAGGAUGUUGGCUUGGAAGCAGCCAUUCAUUUAAAGAGUGCGUAACAGCUCACUAGUCGAGCGAUCUGGCGUGGAUAAUAAUCGGGCAUAAACGAUCUGCCGAAGCCGUGGAUGUCGUAAGACAUGGUAGGGGAGCAUUCCAUGCUGCGUCGAAGAUGAGGGAUGACCCUUGUUGGAGCGCAUGGAAAAGCAAAUGUAGGUAUGAGUAACGAUAAGGGGGGCGAGAAACCCCCCCGCCGAAAGACCAAGGUUUCCUGAUCAACGCUAAUCGGAUCAGGGUGAGUCGGGACCUAAGGCAAAGCCGAACGGCGCCGCCGAUGGAAGAAUGGGUUAAUAUUCCCAUACUGCCUCAUGGAGUGACGUGGAGACGGAGAAGUGACAGUCCUGCCGGCUGACGGAAUAGCCGGUUGAAGGGUGUAGAUAUUGAUUCCCGUAGGCAAAUCCGCGGGGAGAGUCGAACCUGACAGUAUACCGAGUACUUGUACGAGGUAAUAUGGACGUAACCAUGCUCCCGAGAAAAUCCGCUAAACUUAUCCAUGCGGCACCCGUACCGUAAACGGACACACGUGGUCGGGUUGAGAAUACUGAGGCGCUCGAGUGACUCACGGUUAAGGAACUAGGCAAAUUGACCCUGUAACUUCGGGAUAAAGGGUCCUCGUCGUAAGGCGAGGCGCAGAGAAUAGGUCCAGGCAACUGUUUAACAAAAACACAUGGCUGUGCUAAAUGGAAACAUGACGUAUACAGCCUGACACCUGCCCGGUGCUGGAAGGUUAAGAGGAGAUGUCAUCGCAAGAGAAGCGUUGAAUUGAAGCCCCAGUAAACGGCGGCCGUAACUAUAACGGUCCUAAGGUAGCGAAAUUCCUUGUCGGGUAAGUUC
rnacentral:rRNA from 1 species